rnacentral:rRNA from 2 species
AAAACUUUCAACAACGGAUCUCUUGGUUCUGGCAUCGAUGAAGAACGCAGCGAAAUGCGAUAAGUAAUGUGAAUUGCAGAAUUCAGUGAAUCAUCGAAUCUUUGAACGCACAUUGCGCCCCUCGGCAUUCCGGGGGCAUGCCUGUUCGAGCGUCAUUA